UGCUAGCUAGUAAACAUGGGUGUCAACAAUACUGGAUUCAAGAUACUUUAAAAUGGACCUGAAAGAGAUUACAGGAAAACUCCACAUACAGGGCCCGUUUACACCAUUUACAACACCCAACCCCUUUUCUUAUGUCUCCAAAAACCUCCACGGGACAGACGGACAGACGCUAGUGAAGGCCCAGGCCCUGGCAGCCUUGUACGUAUGAGCAGUCCAAGCCUGGGAGUAGGCCGCUGUGUUUAUCCUGUCAAGAAUCCAGCAGGAUGAUAUGAUAUCUUUCCUAACCCAUCCCCUGUGGUCUCCAUCCCAUCAGCGAUGACCUCACCCUGCCUUAGCCCCAGUGUCUGAGUGGAGGGGGGUCUCUCACAUCAAAACAAUGACAAAAGAUGAAGAUUGAUGACCUUGUGAAGUAGCAUAGGAUCAUAGGACUUGUUGUCUUCACCACCAUUACAGUCAGCUUCUCUCAGUUGGGAUUCCUCUAGUGUUCAUCGUUCAGGAGGUUUCUAUCCAUACAGAUGUCUCCUCCUCUCCAAAACUAAUGGACACAGUGAUUCAAACAGGUAAAACAGUGACUAAAGCAGUUUCACCUUAAAAAUGUGUGUUUCUCUGACGCUGUUAGGCAGACAAAGGAUAUCCUCGAGGGGCGGCGAGCUGAGCUCUUAAGAUACAGACAUCUGAUGACUAAAAUCCUUAAUCCAGUUAAAAUAUUUAGUUAAAAACCACCAAGAUUAAAAAAAAUAUCUUAAGAAUGUGGCUUAAAAGUGGAUAAAGUCAAUUUCUGGCAGACAACCACAACGCAUGUGUGAAUGACGCCAUUGACAGGCAAGUGGUGAAACGCACUGUUAUGUGACCCAAACUCACAGAUGUUGAUCAAGGUCUUUGUGAAAUAUGUUAGACGCUGAUGUAUUGCUUUGGUCAUCAUGUAUUUAGAAGUGUUUGCUCACAUUCUAUUAGUAUGUGUUCAUAUAUACAGUAUGGGAUUUUGAGAGUUACAGUAGAGUUUGAAAAUAUUUUGUGUAAUUAUUUGAUUUCACUGAAAAUACAUGACUAUAGUAAAAACUUACAGUACUUUAAUAAAUAGAAUAUGAUAAAUUAAACGUGCAAAUUAUGAAGUUGCUCAAAGGAAACACUCAGGCUCAGGCAAAAUUAUAGCAUUAUAGCAAAUGUAAACCAUGCAAACAUCCAUAUUCCUCUUUAUUUCUUCCUCCCCCCUCUCUUUGUUUUCUCUCAUAUAAACACCCAGCAGCUCUUCUCCAGCUACAGUCUUGACCCACGUGUAAACAACACUAUAAGAACAACCACUUAUAAUAGAUAAUUGACCCACAACAAGGCCAGCCACUCAUCUCUGUGCCUGCAGGACGUCUCCUGCCUGCUCCUCUCUGCCUACCUUGCCAGGAGCACUGGUAACACCUAGAACAGGGGAAGUGCAUAAAAGAUUAAAUUAUGAAUGGAGAUCCAGCGAGGCAGAAGGAAAUGGUUGUGAUAAUAGCAUGACAGCAUAUUUAAUUUGCAGAUAAUUGCACUUUGGGGGCUUUUAAGGGGCUCAUCUAACACUGGCAUUUUUAAUGAAAUGGGCGAAUCAUGACUGUUGUCACCUUACAGCCUCUAAAGAAAUUCAAGCUAGAUUAAAAAGAGCAACAACAUAAAGGAAAAGUGACUGAAUGGCUGUUUUAAUGAUUCACAUUGUCAUUUGAAAAUGGAAACCAGGCCUUUGCACUGCCACUGUUGCAUUAGAGUACUCUGACUUCAGAAUUAUGAGAGGUAUGUUUUACUAUUUCCAUUUGGUGAACUUGUAUUUUGUAGCAAAACAAUUAGUAUUUUUUACACACAUGCAUCCGUGGAUUUGGGGUCGCAGAAUAGAUAAAAGCUUUUCUGACUUGUGUGCUUGUAGAAAAUAUUUUAUCUUGUCACACAAACACAGUUUUUAAGUCUGGCAGCCUGUCAAAUCCUGUCCUAAAUACCGUGCUGUACAUCUUAAA